rnacentral:rRNA from 1 species
UGGGGAAUAUUGGACAAUGGGCGAAAGCCUGAUCCAGCAAUGCCGCGUGAGUGAUGAAGGCCUUAGGGUUGUAAAGCUCUUUUACCCGGGAUGAUAAUGACAGUACCGGGAGAAUAAGCUCCGGCUAACUCCGUGCCAGCAGCCGCGGUAAUACGGAGGGAGCUAGCGUUGUUCGGAAUUACUGGGCGUAAAGCGCACGUAGGCGGCUAUUCAAGUCAGAGGUGAAAGCCUGGAGCUCAACUCCAGAACUGCCUUUGAAACUAGAUAGCUUGAAUCCAGGAGAGGUGAGUGGAAUUCCGAGUGUAGAGGUGAAAUUCGUAGAUAUUCGGAAGAACACCAGUGGCGAAGGCGGCUCACUGGACUGGUAUUGACGCUGAGGUGCGAAAGCGUGGGGAGCAAACA